UCAAAAUUGAAGACAGGAAAUGUGUUUUGC
rnacentral:piRNA from 1 species